rnacentral:rRNA from 1 species
CAAUAGCGUAUAUUAAAGUUGUUGCAGUUAAAAGCUCGUAGUUGGAUUUCUGGUUUGAUGCCCUGGCCCGCUGCUAUUUUAGUAGUGUGUGCCGGUUGUGCGUCUGCCAUCCUUCUAGGGAACGUUCCUUCUCUUCACUGAGCCGGGUUCGUGAUCUAGAUCGUUUACUUUGAAAAAUUAGAGUGUUUAAAGCAGGCUUUUGCUAUGAAUACAUUAGCAUGGAAUAAUAAUCUAGGACUUCGGUGUCUAUUUUGUUUGGUUUCUUGGUAACUGAAGUAAUAGAUUGAUAGGGAGUAGUUGGGGGUGGCUAGUAUUGAGCGGCCAGAGGUGGAAAUUACUUGGAUUCGCUC